UACGUAGGGGGCAAGCGUUAUCCGGAAUUACUGGGCGUAAAGCGCACGCAGGCGGUUCGCCAAGUUUGGAGUGACAGUUGUCGGCUCAACCGACAAAGGACUUCAAAAACUGGUGAACUUGAGGACGAGAGAGGAACAUGGAACUCCAGGUGUAGUAGUGAAAUGCGUAGAUAUCUGGAAGAACACCAAUGGCGAAGGCAAUGUUCUGGCUCGUUUCUGACGCGUCAGGUGCGAAAGCCAGGGGAGCGAACGGG
rnacentral:rRNA from 1 species